rnacentral:rRNA from 1 species
GACGAACGCUGACGGCGUGCCUAAUACAUGCAAGUAGAACGCUGAAGGAGGAGCUUGCUCUUCUGGAUGAGUUGCGAACGGGUGAGUAACGCGUAGGUAACCUGCCUGGUAGCGGGGGAUAACUAUUGGAAACGAUAGCUAAUACCGCAUAACAGUAGAUGUUGCAUGACAUUUACUUAAAAGGUGCAAUUGCAUCACUACCAGAUGGACCUGCGUUGUAUUAGCUAGUUGGUGGGGUAACGGCUCACCAAGGCGACGAUACAUAGCCGACCUGAGAGGGUGAUCGGCCACACUGGGACUGAGACACGGCCCAGACUCCUACGGGAGGCAGCAGUAGGGAAUCUUCGGCAAUGGACGGAAGUCUGACCGAGCAACGCCGCGUGAGUGAAGAAGGUUUUCGGAUCGUAAAGCUCUGUUGUAAGAGAAGAACGAGUGUGAGAGUGGAAAGUUCACACUGUGACGGUAUCUUACCAGAAAGGGACGGCUAACUACGUG